rnacentral:rRNA from 1 species
UACGUAGGGUGCAAGCGUUGUCCGGAAUUAUUGGGCGUAAAGAGCUCGUAGGCGGCUUGUCGCGUCGGCUGUGAAAACCUGGGGCUCAACCCCGGGCCUGCAGCCGAUACGGGCGGACUAGAAUUCGGUAGGGGAGACUGGAAUUCCUGGUGUAGCGGUGAAAUGCGCAGAUAUCAGGAGGAACACCGGUGGCGAAGGCGGGUCUCUGGGCCGAUAUUGACGCUGAGGAGCGAAAGCGUGGGGAGCGAACAGG